UACGUAGGGUCCGAGCGUUGUCCGGAAUUAUUGGGCGUAAAGAGCUCGUAGGCGGUUUGUCGCGUCGGGAGUAAAAACUCAGGGCUCAACCCUGAGCGUGCUUCCGAUACGGGCAAACUAGAGGUAUGCAGGGGAGAACGGAAUUCCUGGUGUAGCGGUGGAAUGCGCAGAUAUCAGGAGGAACACCGGUGGCGAAGGCGGUUCUCUGGGCAUUACCUGACGCUGAGGAGCAAAAGCAUGGGGAGCGAACAGG
rnacentral:misc_RNA from 1 species